rnacentral:lncRNA from 1 species
ACAUUUCAAUUGUCAGUAAAUCAGCUCAGACUUAAAAGCACAUUUGUUAUCUGAAACUUGCUGUGCGAGAUUGUUGUUAUGCUUCAGAGAAAACCGGUUGUGUGACUCCGGAUAAUAAAGGUAGCCAGCCUCAUACAGACCGACCAGAACAGCUGCCAACAUGAAGCUUCUGGUGUGUGCCCUCGUACUGGUGCUGGUGUGCAGUGAGACUGUGCAUUCCCUCAAGUGUUUCACUUGUGUGAACGGGAACUGUAAGACUGCUACAGAAUGCCCAGAAUCAAGCAACUUCUGCAAAACCGUGGUGGGAUACGACUCCCUCAGUCGGACCUGUGAGGAGUUCUGUGUGCCUGGAGUUAAUAUCUACUGCUGCCAGGAGGAUCUGUGUGGCUGAGACCCAGCUAACCUCUGCAAUACUGCUGAAUCAUGAGCUUAAUCAAAGAGUUAUAAUAAUAAUAACCAUAUAAAAAUGACCAUAAUCCUCCUAAUUAACUGUAUCCAAUGAUUCCUAAUGCUUGAAUAAAAGCCUGCAGCAUCUAUUUUCUUCUUUUAGAGUCUAUUGUCUAGCAAAGAGAAACUGAACAGUCUGUAAUGUAGAAAAACAGGUUGAACAGGUGUUACAUUUGAAGAACAUACAGUGACUUGAAUAUUGGAUUUAAAUUA